AUGACCAAGAUUUCAAAAGCUCAUUCUGAAGAUAUCCGCGUUCAGCGUGGGGCAGGCAAGACUCUCCGUGAGAUCAGGGCUCAUCUUGCAUCCGCUGGAGUCAACGUGUCUGAGCGGACCAUAAGCCGGCACUUUGAAGUCCGUGAGCCAAGGCGUGCGCAUCCGAGAAAAUUGUUGAGUCAUGUUAUGGCUGCCAUAGACGAUCUCACUAAAAAGAAUACCGAAUUAGUGGCCAGAGAUGUGCAAAGGAUUCUGCAGUCAGAUUAUGGAGUGAACGUCCGCCAGCCCUCAAUACGCUACGCACGCAGAAAGCUGGGAUGGAAGUUCAACAAAACAGUUUUUUCUCCCAUGAUACGUGAACAAAACAAAGAAGCACGGCUGAGACAGGCUCAACAGUGGAUUGAAAACCGCCAACUGUUUCACAACAUGCUGUUCACUGGCGAAACAACUGUUGCACUGGAGCACUUCACAAGAAUGAGCUUCACAAAGAAAGGACACUUUGUUUCCAAACCGAGACCUAAACAUCCCCUCAAACUCCACGUUUCUGGGUAUGAUUUCAAGGUGGGGACCAGGACCGAUCAUUAUUUUUGAUUAAGGACAGACAGUUCUUUAAGGAGUCCAUAAUCAAAAGCACAGUGGGGCCGUAUAUAAGGGAGACUUUUGGACCACGGCACCGUUUUUUUUUCAGGACAAUGACCCCAAACACGUAGCUGCAAGAGCCUGUCUGGAGGCAGAAGGGAUCAACUGGGUGCGCACACCAGCUGAAUCACCUGAUCUGAACCCCAUAGAACUUGUUUGGCAUCUGAUGAAAGAUUUCAUUCGCAGAGAAGCCAAGCCCAAAACCAAGGAGGAACUCAUUUCAGCCCUGAGGUUUUAUUGGAGGCAUAGACUGACAUCAAGGAUAUGCAAUACUCUGAUUACAGGUUUAGCGAAAGUCCUUCCAUUAAUUGUACAAAGACGGGGAGGGCAUAGCGGAAGGUGAAGUUGUACAUUUCAGCAGCUACACUUUAUACUGUGCAGUAGGUGUCUUACUCAGAUGUCAAUGGCUUUCAAGAAAAAAAAACACUAUAUUUUGUAAUGUGUGUACCGAGCGUAAUAAAACACCACCUAGUUUCUAAAAACA
rnacentral:lncRNA from 1 species